GACGAACGCUGGCGGCGUGCUUAACACAUGCAAGUCGAACGGAAAGGCCCUGCUUUUGUGGGGUGCUCGAGUGGCGAACGGGUGAGUAACACGUGAGUAACCUGCCCUUGACUUUGGGAUAACUUCAGGAAACUGGGGCUAAUACCGGAUAGGAGCUCCUGCUGCAUGGUGGGGGUUGGAAAGUUUCGGCGGUUGGGGAUGGACUCGCGGCUUAUCAGCUUGUUGGUGGGGUAGUGGCUUACCAAGGCUUUGACGGGUAGCCGGCCUGAGAGGGUGACCGGCCACAUUGGGACUGAGAUACGGCCCAGACUCCUACGGGAGGCAGCAGUGGGGAAUAUUGCACAAUGGGCGGAAGCCUGAUGCAGCAACGCCGCGUGCGGGAUGACGGCCUUCGGGUUGUAAACCGCUUUCGCCUGUGACGAAGCGUGAGUGACGGUAAUGGGUAAAGAAGCACCGGCUAACUACGUGCCAGCAGCCGCGGUGAUACGUAGGGUGCGAGCGUUGUCCGGAUUUAUUGGGCGUAAAGGGCUCGUAAGCGGUUGAUCGCGUCGGAAGUGUAAUCUUGGGGCUUAACCCUGAGCGUGCUUUCGAUACGGGUUGACUUGAGGAAGGUAGGGGAGAAUGGAAUUCCUGGUGGGGCGGUGGAAUGCGCAGAUAUCAGGAGGAACACCAGUGGCGAAGGCGGUUCUCUGGGCCUUUCCUGACGCUGAGGAGCGAAAGCGUGGGGAGCGAACAGGCUUAGAUACCCUGGUAGUCCACGCUGUAAACGGUGGGUACUAGGUGUGGGAUCCAUUCCACGGGUUCCGUGCCGUAGCUAACGCUUUAAGUACCCCGCCUGGGGAGUACGGCCGCAAGGCUAAAACUCAAAGGAAUUGACGGGGCCCCGCACAAGCGGCGGAGCAUGCGGAUUAAUUCGAUGCAACGCGUAGAACCUUACCUGGGUUUGACAUGGAUCGGGAGUGCUCAGAGAUGGGUGUGCCUCUUUUGGGGUCGGUUCACAGGUGGUGCAUGGCUGUCGUCAGCUCGUGUCGUGAGAUGUUGGGUUAAGUCCCGCAACGAGCGCAACCCUUGUUCACUGUUGCCAGCACGUUAUGGUGGGGACUCAGUGGAGACCGCCGGGGUCAACUCGGAGGAAGGUGGGGAUGACGUCAAGUCAUCAUGCCCCUUAUGUCCAGGGCUUCACGCAUGCUACAAUGGCUGGUACAGAGAGUGGCGAGCCUGUGAGGGUGAGCGAAUCUCGGAAAGCCGGUCUCAGUUCGGAUUGGGGUCUGCAACUCGACCACAUGAAGUCGGAGUCGCUAGUAAUCGCAGAUCAGCAACGCUGCGGUGAAUACGUUCCCGGG
rnacentral:rRNA from 1 species